rnacentral:rRNA from 1 species
GACGAACCGUGCUAACGUUGUUCGGAAUCACUGGGCUUAAAGGGCGCGUAGGCGGUCUAUCAAGUCGGGGGUGAAAUCUUUCGGCCCAACCGGAAAAGGGCCUUCGAUACUGGUAGACUCGAGCGAGGUAGGGGCGGAUGGAACUUCCGGUGGAGCGGUGAAAUGCGCAGAUAUCAGGAGGAACACCGGUGGCGAAGGCGGGUCUCUGGGCCGAUACUGACGCUGAGGAGCGAAAGCGUGGGGAGCGAA